GCUGGGGUGGCGAAAUUGGUAGACGCACCAGGUUUAGGACCUGGCGGAGCAAUCCAUUGAGGGUUCGAGUCCCUCCCCCAGCACCA
rnacentral:tRNA from 1 species